GGGGGAAAAAUUUUUGGCAGAUGAAUUCAGAGGAAACAAAGAAAACACACGAAAGCAAACAUGAAACAAGGGCGACACAUAAAUUAUGGAAGCAGGCGUAAAGCCUCUAAACGUGACGAAAUUCAAUCCUCAAGGAGUAGAAACAAAUAAAAUUCAACAGAGUUGCUGUUACACACAAAAUUCAGCAUAAUUUGGCAAAUUUUCCGAACAUAACACAACUUAAAUCGACCAAGUCAGCUGCAAGCUCCCCAAACCAUAGACCAAAUCAUUUCACAUUGAGCUACCAACAUCGCAGGCCCCUGUUAACUUUAGAGAUAUUAACGAUUCAGUUGACGAAUCGGACAACUCAACAAGAAAUACAAGCAAAAGAUACUAAAUCCACCGGUGCGAAAUACGGAGACGGGAUAGAUGCCAAUUCCAAAACCACAUGAAAGCGAUUGAACUCUCCUAGCAAGCCUAGCUACACAUAUUAGUCUAGCUCUGAACUCUCCCCUCAACUCUCGUAAACAUGUCGCAACCUUUCUUGUUCUUGGGUUGUGACGAUGCCCGGUGUGCUACAAUUAAUCGAAUCGAGCUUAUUCAUACUCAUACACAAAAAAGAAGACGCGAGCAGAAAAUUGAUCUGAAAAAAGAAAAAUGCAAACAUGAAUGGUUCUAGCCACAUGCUAAAUCUUAAUCGUAAUAAAUCAUUCAACAUGUAAUAAGCUUUAAAAAAAAGAGUUGAAGGCUAACCUCCAAGCAGUUAAGCGAUAUUCUGGCCUUAGGUAUCCGGCGAGCAAAACGAAGCUUUGUUUGUCAACAAGUGGAAGAACAUAACGUUCAUCAUGAAAAAAGGAAAAUGAAGAUAAGUAUGAUACAAAGCUCAAAAAUAAAAAAUUUAUCAAAAGAUUACAGACGAGCUUCUCUGCCCAUUUCUACAUAUGGAUGCAUCUGUUUAGAUAUAAAAAUUUAUUGCGUUUCAAAAGAUUACAGCCGAGCUUCUGCCCAUUUCGAAAAGAUUACAGCCGAGCACAAAAAUAAAAAAUUUAUUGCGGUUUAAAUAUAGAUGGAUGAACAAAAACACAAACACAAAACAAAUAUCCACUGUACAAAAAUAUACCUAUACAUGAAUCAUCUAACAUCCCUUCACCCAUAGAACUAAUAGACACAAAUAUGUAUAAGCAAACAACCUUAAGAUUAGCCUGACAACAAGAUUCGAAACAAAAUCUCCAAUUAUAAAUCGCGAAAGCAACUCAAAGAAAAAGCCAAGUCCAAGAAAAUUAAACACGAACAAACUACCGAGCCUAUGGAUAAACUCGUGAAAGGAACCUACAAAUUUUGGAACCAAAACAAAGUUUCAGUAUCAUAAAGUAUUCAAGAAAAGAGCUUUCAAAGCAGAAAUGGCCAUGUUAUACCAAUAAAGCGUAACAUAUGAUUGCAGCUAGCCAGAAGAGGGCUAAAUAAUAACAAUAGUUUAUGUUCACCUUCUGAUGCUCAAUCGAGGGACGUACAUCAAGCAAGGUUUAAACAACAAUCACUUGAUUAAAAUUGAUUCCAUAGUUCGAUUUCAGCUGUAAUAAGGUAUUAAAAACAGAGUUGAACACAAACCUCUGAGCAAUCAAGCGACCGUCUGCCCUUACGGAUCCAGCUAUGCAAACGAAAUCUGGUCGGCAGCAAAUGGAUGAACCCAGACCUUGUUCAUCAACAAUAGGCAAAAGGAAUAUAAAUAGAUAUGAUCAAAAGCUCAAACAUAAAGGAUUUGACAAAAGAAGCUGAACAUAUCAAGCGAAUCAGAGUAAUUUUUUACCCAAAUUAGUUGCUAAUUUGAUAAAACUAGUGCACCUCCCGCGCUAUGCGCGGUGAAUGUGAACUUAGACUCGCAUAAAAUAUACAUAUAUAUGUUUUAUAAUAUUAAUAUAAACUAAUAAAAUUAAAAUUUGAUACAAAAAUUAUUUUUUGCAAAGUGAUAUAAUAUUUUAAUAUAAGC
rnacentral:lncRNA from 1 species